rnacentral:rRNA from 1 species
AUUGAACGCUGGCGGCAGGCCUAACACAUGCAAGUCGAACGAGUGGCGGACGGUUGAGUAAUGUCUGUGCAACUUCCCGAUGGAGGGGGAUAACUACUGGAAACGGUAGCUAAUAACGCAUACCAUCGGAUUUGCCCAGAUGGGAUUAGAUUGUGGGUGAGGUAACUGCUCACCUAGGCGACGAUCCCUAGCUGGUCUGAGAGGAUGACCAGCCACACUGGAACUGAGACACGGUCCAGACUCCUACGGGAGGCAGCAGUGGGGAAUAUUGGACAAUGGGCGCAAGCCUGAUGCAGCCAUGCCGCGUGUAUGAAGAAGGCCUUCGGGUUGUAAAGUACUUUCAGCGGGGAGGCGUUACCCGCAGAAGAAGUACCGGCUAACUCCGUGCCAGCAGCCGCGGUAAUAC